CGGCCAGCUCUGAUCCUGUCCUCCCUGAGGGAUCCUGUACUGAGCUGCCCCGAGGCCCUCCAUUGCGCCCAGCUCGGGGCAGCUCAGUACAGGGUGCAUCGGGGCAGGAGCGAGCAGGGAGCACCGCC
rnacentral:miRNA from 1 species